GAUGAACGCUGGCGGCGUGCUUAACACAUGCAAGUCGAACGGGAAACCUUUUAUUGAUGCUUCGGCAGAUUUAGCUGGUUUCUAGUGGCGGACGGGUGAGUAACGCGUGGGUAACCUGCCUUAUACAGGGGGAUAACAGUCAGAAAUGGCUGCUAAUACCGCAUAAGCGCACAGAGCUGCAUGGCUCAGUGUGAAAAACUCCGGUGGUAUAAGAUGGACCGGCGUUGGAUUAGCUAGUUGGCGGGGUAAAGGCCCACAAAGGCGACGAUCCAUAGCGGGCCUGAGAGGAGGAGCAGCAACACUGGAACUGAGACACGGUGCAGACUCCGACGGGAGGCAGCAGUGGGGAAGAUUGGACAAUGGGCGCAAGCCUGAUCCAGCAAUACCGCGUGGGUGAAGAAGGCCUACGGGUUGUAAAGCCCUGUUGUUGGGAAAGAACAGAAGCAGGUGAAUACCAAGCUGUUAUGACGGUACCCAAAGAAUAAGCAACGGCUAACUACGUG
rnacentral:rRNA from 1 species